rnacentral:lncRNA from 1 species
CCUUGGAGAGUUAUUGGUCUAUACACAAGAAAAAGAGAAAAAGCUCACCAAAUUGGCUUUGACCUAGUCUUUCCAUGCUUAAGUUCGUGGGGGCUUUGGAAUAAUAGUAGUAAAAAGAAAAAACAUAAGAAAAGGUUAAAAUAAAAUAUUAUCCUAUUUUGGUCAUCUUUAUUCUAGUAUGUCUUCAUCUCGAUCUUAGCCUCAGGCUUGAUUGCUCGACCUCGAGUUUCACUUUGGUCUCGGCCUCGAGAAUCACUUUGAUGUUGGCCUUAGGCUUAG